UGAGAGCAGCUCAACAGCUCUUCCGGUGCUGUUGGAGAACCUAAGUAAUGACUGUUAUGGGGUCCUAUUUUAACUAUCUAAGCGCACGGUGUGAAGCGCCUGGUACAGGUGCAUUUAGGGCGUGUCCAAAUCCACUUUUGCUAGUUUGAC